rnacentral:rRNA from 1 species
GAUGAACGCUAGCGGCAGGCCUAAUACAUGCAAGUCGAACGGGAUCCAGAUCAAAGCUUGCUUUGGUCUGGUGAGAGUGGCGCACGGGUGCGUAACGCGUGAGCAACCUACCCUUGUCAGGGGGAUAGCCCGGCGAAAGUCGGAUUAAUACCGCAUGACAUCAUUGAGAGGCAUCUUUCGAUGAUCAAAGAUUUAUCGGACAAGGAUGGGCUCGCGUGACAUUAGCUAGUUGGUAAGGUAACGGCUUACCAAGGCUGCGAUGUCUAGGGGCUCUGAGAGGAGAAUCCCCCACACUGGUACUGAGACACGGACCAGACUCCUACGGGAGGCAGCAGUAAGGAAUAGUGGUCAAUGGACGGAAGUCUGAACCAGCCAUGCCGCGUGCAGGAGGACGGCCCUAUGGGUUGUAAACUGCUUUUAUACGGGAACAAACGUCGGUACGUGUACCGGUCUAAGUGUACCGUAAGAAUAAGGAUCGGCUAACUCCGUG